AGAUUGAACGCUGGCGGUAUGCUUAACACAUGCAAGUCGAACGGAAACGAAACUAGCUUGCUAGUAGGCGUCGAGUGGCGGACGGGUGAGUAACGCGUAGGAAUCUGCCUGAUAGUGGGGGAUAGCCCGAAGAAAUUCGGAUUAAUACCGCAUAAUCUAUUCGUAGUAAAGUGGGGGACUUUCGAGCCUCACGCUAUCAGAUGAGCCUGCGUAAGAUUAGCUUGUUGGUAGGGUAAAAGCCUACCAAGGCAACGAUCUUUAGCUGGUCUGAGAGGAUGAUCAGCCACAUCGGGACUGAGACACGGCCCGAACUCCUACGGGAGGCAGCAGUGGGGAAUAUUGGACAAUGGGGGCAACCCUGAUCCAGCAAUACCGCGUGUGUGAAGAAGGCCUGAGGGUUGUAAAGCACUUUCAAUUGUGAAGAAAAGUUAACGGUUAAUAACCGUUGACCUUGACGUUAACUUUAGAAGAAGCACCGGCUAACUCCGUGCCAGCAGCCGCGGUAAUACGGAGGGUGCAAGCGUUAAUCGGAAUUACUGGGCGUAAGCGUGCGUAGGCGGUUUAUUAAGUCAGAUGUGAAAGCCCCGGGCUUAACCUGGGAACUGCAUUUGAAACUGGUCAACUAGAGUAUGGUAGAGGAAAGUGGAAUUUCUGGUGUAGCGGUGAAAUGCGUAGAUAUCAGAAGGAACAUCAAUGGCGAAGGCARCUUUCUGGACCAAUACUGACGCUGAGGUACGAAAGCGUGGGUAGCAAACAGGAUUAGAUACCCUGGUAGUCCACGCCGUAAACGAUGAUAACUAGCCGUUGGGGGGAUUUACCCCUUAGUGGCGAAGCUAACGCGUUAAGUUAUCCGCCUGGGGAGUACGGCCGCAAGGUUAAAACUCAAAGGAAUUGACGGGGACCCGCACAAGCGGUGGAGCAUGUGGUUUAAUUCGAUGCAACGCGAAGAACCUUACCUGGUCUUGACAUCCUGMGAACUUUCUAGAAAUAGAUUGGUGCCUUCGGGAACUCAGUGGACAGGUGCUGCAUGGCUGGUCGUCAGCUCGUGUCGUGAGAUGUUGGGUUAAGUCCCGUAACGAGCGCAACCCCUAUCCUUAUUUGCCAGCACAUUAUGGUGGGAACUAUAAGGAGACUGCCGGUGAUAAACCGGAGGAAGGCGGGGACGACGUCAAGUCAUCAUGGCCCUUACGACCAGGGCUACACACGUGCUACAAUGGGAAGGACAAAGAGCCGCGAAGCCGCGAGGUGUAGCUAAUCUCAUAAAUCUUUUCGUAGUCCGGAUUGGAGUCUGCAACUCGACUCCAUGAAGUCGGAAUCGCUAGUAAUCGUAGAUCAGAAUGCUACGGUGAAUACGUUCCCGGGUCUUGCACACACCGCCCGUC
rnacentral:rRNA from 1 species